AUUGAACGCUGGCGACAUGCCUUACACAUGCAAGUCGAACGGCAGCACGGGUGCUUGCACCUGGUGGCGAGUGGCGAACGGGUGAGUAAUACAUCGGAACAUGUCCUGUAGUGGGGGAUAGCCCGGCGAAAGCCGGAUUAAUACCGCAUACGAUCUACGGAUGAAAGCGGGGGACCUUCGGGCCUCGCGCUAUAGGGUUGGCCGAUGGCUGAUUAGCUAGUUGGGGGGGUAAAGGCCUACCAAGGCGACGAUCAGUAGCUGGUCUGAGAGGACGACCAGUCACACUGGGACUGAGACACGGCCCAGACUCCUACGGGAGGCAGCAGUGGGGAAUUUUGGACAAUGGGCGAAAGCCUGAUCCAGCAAUGCCGCGUGUGUGAAGAAGGCCUUCGGGUUGAAAAGCACUUUUGUCCGGAAAGAAAUCCUUGGCCCUAAUACGGUCGGGGGAUGACGGUACCGGAAGAAUAAGCACCGGCUAACUACGUG
rnacentral:rRNA from 1 species